GAUGAAGAACGCAGCGAAAUGCGAUACUUGGUGUGAAUUACAGAAUCCCGUGAACCAUCGAGUCUUUGAACGCAAGUUGCGCCCGAAGCCAUUAGGCCGAGGGCACGCCUGCCUGGGCGUCACACGUCGUUGCCCCCCCAUCUACUCCUUCGGGAUUGCGGGGGGCGGAUGAUGGCCUCCCGUGCGCCUCGCCGCGCGGUUGGCAUAAAUGCCAAGUCCUCGGCGACGCACGCCACGACAAUCGGUGGUUGCGAAACCUCGGUUGCCCGUCGUGUGCGGUCGUCGCGCAUCGAGGGCUCGAAAAAAUUGCCGGGUUCCGGCUCGGCUUUCAACGCGACCCCAGGUCAGGCGGGGUUACCCGCUGAAUUUAAGCAUAUCAAUAAGCGGAGGA
rnacentral:misc_RNA from 1 species